rnacentral:rRNA from 1 species
CUACGUGCCAGCAGCCGCGGUAAUACGUAGGUCCCGAGCGUUAUCCGGAUUUAUUGGGCGUAAAGCGAGCGCAGGCGGUUAGAUAAGUCUGAAGUUAAAGGCUGUGGCUUAACCAUAGUACGCUUUGGAAACUGUUUAACUUGAGUGCAGAAGGGGAGAGUGGAAUUCCAUGUGUAGCGGUGAAAUGCGUAGAUAUAUGGAGGAACACCGGUGGCGAAAGCGGCUCUCUGGUCUGUAACUGACGCUGAGGCUCGAAAGCGUGGGGAGCAAACAGGAUUAGAUACCCUGGUAGUCCACGCCGUAAACGAUGAGUGCUAGGUGUUAGACCCUUUCCGGGGUUUAGUGCCGUAGCUAACGCAUUAAGCACUCCGCCUGGGGAGUACGACCGCAAGGUUGAAACUCAAAGGAAUUGACGGGGGCCCGCACAAGCGGUGGAGUAUGUGGUUUAAUUCGACGCAACGCGAAGAACCUUACCAGGUCUUGACAUUGAKGACAGAACUAGAGAUAG